rnacentral:rRNA from 1 species
AAUGAACGCUGGCGGCGCGCCUAAUACAUGCAAGUCGAGCGAGAAGACGUAGCAAUACGUUUGUAAAGCGGCGAACGGGUGAGGAAUACAUGGGUAACCUACCCUUGAGUGGGGAAUAACUAGCCGAAAGGUUAGCUAAUACCGCGUACGCUUCCUGGACUUCGGUUCAGGGAGGAAAGCGAUGCCGAGGGUAUCGCGCUCUUGGAUGGGCUCAUGUCCUAUCAGCUUGUUGGGAGGUAACGGCUCACCAAGGCUUCGACGGGUAGCUGGUCUGAGAGGACGAUCAGCCACACUGGCACUGCGACACGGGCCAGACUCCUACGGGAGGCAGCAGUAAGGAAUAUUGCGCAAUGGGCGAAAGCCUGACGCAGCGACGCCGCGUGGGGGAGUGAAGGUC